rnacentral:rRNA from 1 species
GGAGUCUAGCAUGUGCGCAAGUCAUUGGGCAUUACUAAACCCAAAGGCGAAGUGAAAGCAAAGCCUGUGCCUGAGUGCAGGUUAGGUGUGAUCUGGAUGCCACCCAGUGGUCCCGGCGCAACACCGGCCCGUCCUUAACUGUCUUGCAGUGGGGCGGAGCAAGAGCGCACAUGCUGAAACCCGAAAGAUGGUGAACUAUGCUUGGGCAGGCUGAAGCCAGAGGAAACUCUGGUGGAGGGCCGUAGCGAUUCUGACGUGCAAAUCGAUCGUCAGACCUGAGUAUAGGGGCGAAAGACUAAUCGAACCAUCUAGUAGCUGGUUCCCUCCGAAGUUUCCCUCAGGAUAGCUGACACGCAUGGUUAAAGUUUCAUCCGGUAAAGCGAAUGAUUAGAGGUAUUGGGGAUGAAAUGUCCUCAACCUAUUCUCAAACUUUAAAUGGGUGAGAUGGCCGUCUCUCUUGAUUGGAGUCGGUCGUCAGAAUGUGUGUGUUUAGUGGGCCAAUUUUGGUAAGCAGAACUGGCGCUGUGGGAUGAACCAAACGUUCGGUUAAGGUGCCUAAAAAAUCGCUCAUGAGACACCACAAAAGGUGUUGGUUGAUAUAGACAGCAGGACGGUGGCCAUGGAAGUUGGAAUCCCCUAAGGAGUGUUUAACCACUCACCUUCCGGAUCCACCAACCCUGGAAAUGGAUGGCCCCUGAACGAAUUACCCAAACCGGACCCUUACUGUAGUGUGUUAUGGGAUGCAGUCAGGAGUAAGAGGGUCGACGUGGUGAGCGUUGAAGCUUGGUCCGUGAGGGCCGGUGGAGCCGCCACGUGUGCAGAUCUUGGUGGUAGUA